rnacentral:rRNA from 1 species
UACGAAGGGAGCUAGCGUUGUUCGGAAUCACUGGGCGUAAAGCGCACGUAGGCGGAUGGGUCAGUCAGGGGUGAAAUCCCGGAGCUCAACUUCGGAACUGCCUUUGAUACAGCACGUCUUGAGUCCGAUAGAGGUGGGUGGAAUUCCUAGUGUAGAGGUGAAAUUCGUAGAUAUUAGGAAGAACACCGGUGGCGAAGGCGGCCCACUGGAUCGGUACUGACGCUGAGGUGCGAAAGCGUGGGGAGCAAACAGG